rnacentral:lncRNA from 1 species
GAACACACCACUCCAAAAUACGACCAUUGGAAGCCAAAACGCACCACUACAAGACAUUUCCUUGACAUAUUUUGGAAAACUGCAGACAGGAGAAGCUGUCUUUUGUAAAACAAAUGUAUAUCUCUAAAGGAAAUCGACAUAAGGAAAAUACCUGGAUCAGGAAGAUGACUGCUUUGAGAUCACUUCUGUUACCUGAGAGACUUUAUCUGCAGUCUUUAUUCACCAUGCAGGUACAAAUCUCACCUUUCUCUGGCUUGUCCCCAACCCAGAGUCCAAUUCCCUAUUCUUUUCUUUAGCUCAGGAUGCUUAGUAAACUUCAAUCAACUAACCCUUCUAUUUUCUAGAAUUCCUGUGCAUAUGCAUGCAAUUAAAAAUUUC